GGAACCGCUGGCACAGACCUCUGGUACAAUACUUGUUCGAUCGAACAGUGGUAUGACGCUACGUCUGUUGGAUUAUGCCUGAACGCCUCUAAGGCCGUAACCGAGCUCAAUGUAGUAACACUAAUGGGGCAUAUUAUGCAAUAACAUCAGGUCUCUAUAGUCUCCAUUACAUGCGGUCUCUCUCGGGAGGCCGUUAUGGACAGGACCCAUAUUCGGUGUGAUGCUUAUCAAUAGCGAGGUGGCUUAUUACAGUCACCUCAAUAUGCAAUCAUCUGCCGGUACCAUUACAUAUUGUAUAUGCUCAGAAUCAAUUGUAAACGACUUUGGUAGAGUGGGGUGCCGCAAGUGUUAGA
rnacentral:rRNA from 1 species